rnacentral:tRNA from 1 species
AGGCACGUAGCUCAGCGGGAGAGCACUACCUUGACACGGUAGGGGUCGGCGGUUCAAUCCCGCCCGUGCCUA